rnacentral:rRNA from 1 species
CCUACGGGAGACAGCAGUGGGGAAUAUUGGGCAAUGGGCGAAAGCCUGACCCAGCAACGCCGCGUGAAGGAAGAAGGCUUUCGGGUUGUAAACUUCUUUUAAGAGGGAAGAGCAGAAGACGGUACCUCUUGAAUAAGACACGGCUAACUACGUGCCAGCAGCCGCGGUAAUACGUAGGUGGCAAGCGUUGUCCGGAUUUACUGGGAGGAAAGGGCGUGUAGCCGGGCUGACAAGUCAGAUGUGAAAUUCCGGGGCUCAACCCCGGGCCUGCAUUUGAAACUGUUAGUCUUGAGUAUCGGAGAGGCAGGCGGAAUUCCUAGUGUAGCGGUGAAAUGCGUAGAUAUUAGGAGGAACACCAGUGGCGAAGGCGGCCUACUGGACGACAACUGACGGUGAGGCGCGAAAGCGUGGGGAGCAAACAGGAUUAGAUACCCUUGUAGUC